AAACCUGUAGCACGUAUAUGCUAAUUAUGUCUAUAUUAUAUUAUUAACAUUAAUAUGUUUUAAUAUGAAGUAUUCAACUGCUUGAUUAUAUAUUAACAUAAUGCUACAACACAAUAUACGCACAAUGCGUAAAUAUUUCAUAUACGGCCCAAAAAUAUUUGUGUUGUUAUAUCCAAUUUUGUUUAAAAUAACUCUUUAGUCCUUUGUGUGACAAUGUAAUGCAUGUUUAAUCAAAGCAAUCUUAUUUUAAUUAUAUUACCUGCAUCAUUGUCAUGAUAUUCUAAAUCCAACAUUUUCACAUGUUCAAUUGAACCUUUGCUUCAGUGUUUAGUUAAUAAUUGUGUAACUCUGUACAAAAAUAU
rnacentral:lncRNA from 1 species